rnacentral:rRNA from 2 species
UUAAGCGACUAAGCGUACACGGUGGAUGCCCUGGCAGUCAGAGGCGAUGAAGGACGUGCUAAUCUGCGAUAAGCGUCGGUAAGGUGAUAUGAACCGUUAUAACCGGCGAUUUCCGAAUGGGGAAACCCAGUGUGUUUCGUCACACUAUCAUUAACUGAAUCCAUAGGUUAAUGAGGCGAACCGGGGGAACUGAAACAUCUAAGUACCCCGAGGAAAAGAAAUCAACCGAGAUUCCCCCAGUAGCGGCGAGCGAACGGGGAGGAGCCCAGAGCCUGAAUCAGUGUGUGUGUUAGUGGAAGCGUCUGGAAAGGCGCGCGAUACAGGGUGACAGCCCCGUACACAAAAAUGCACAUACUGUGAGCUCGAUGAGUAGGGCGGGACACGUGGUAUCCUGUCUGAAUAUGGGGGGACCAUCCUCCAAGGCUAAAUACUCCUGACUGACCGAUAGUGAACCAGUACCGUGAGGGAAAGGCGAAAAGAACCCCGGCGAGGGGAGUGAAAAAGAACCUGAAACCGUGUACGUACAAGCAGUGGGAGCCUCUUAAUGGGGUGACUGCGUACCUUUUGUAUAAUGGGUCAGCGACUUAUAUUCUGUAGCAAGGUUAACCGAAUAGGGGAGCCGAAGGGAAACCGAGUCUUAACUGGGCGUUAAGUUGCAGGGUAUAGACCCGAAACCCGGUGAUCUAGCCAUGGGCAGGUUGAAGGUUGGGUAACACUAACUGGAGGACCGAACCGACUAAUGUUGAAAAAUUAGCGGAUGACUUGUGGCUGGGGGGGAAAGGCCAAUCAAACCGGGAGAUAGCUGGUUCUCCCCGAAAGCUAUUUAGGUAGCGCCUCGUGAAUUCAUCUCCGGGGGUAGAGCACUGUUUCGGCAAGGGGGUCAUCCCGACUUACCAACCCGAUGCAAACUGCGAAUACCGGAGAAUGUUAUCACGGGAGACACACGGCGGGUGCUAACGUCCGUCGUGAAGAGGGAAACAACCCAGACCGCCAGCUAAGGUCCCAAAGUCAUGGUUAAGUGGGAAACGAUGUGGGAAGGCCCAGACAGCCAGGAUGUUGGCUUAGAAGCAGCCAUCAUUUAAAGAAAGCGUAAUAGCUCACUGGUCGAGUCGGCCUGCGCGGAAGAUGUAACGGGGCUAAACCAUGCACCGAAGCUGCGGCAGCGACGCUUAUGCGUUGUUGGGUAGGGGAGCGUUCUGUAAGCCUGUGAAGGUGGCCUGUGAGGGUUGCUGGAGGUAUCAGAAGUGCGAAUGCUGACAUAAGUAACGAUAAAGCGGGUGAAAAGCCCGCUCGCCGGAAGACCAAGGGUUCCUGUCCAACGUUAAUCGGGGCAGGGUGAGUCGACCCCUAAGGCGAGGCCGAAAGGCGUAGUCGAUGGGAAACAGGUUAAUAUUCCUGUACUUGGUGUUACUGCGAAGGGGGGACGGAGAAGGCUAUGUUGGCCGGGCGACGGUUGUCCCGGUUUAAGCGUGUAGGCUGGUUUUCCAGGCAAAUCCGGAAAAUCAAGGCUGAGGCGUGAUGACGAGGUACUACGGUGCUGAAGCAACAAAUGCCCUGCUUCCAGGAAAAGCCUCUAAGCAUCAGGUAACAUCAAAUCGUACCCCAAACCGACACAGGUGGUCAGGUAGAGAAUACCAAGGCGCUUGAGAGAACUCGGGUGAAGGAACUAGGCAAAAUGGUGCCGUAACUUCGGGAGAAGGCACGCUGAUAUGUAGGUGAAGCGACUUGCUCGUGGAGCUGAAAUCAGUCGAAGAUACCAGCUGGCUGCAACUGUUUAUUAAAAACACAGCACUGUGCAAACACGAAAGUGGACGUAUACGGUGUGACGCCUGCCCGGUGCCGGAAGGUUAAUUGAUGGGGUUAGCGGUAACGCGAAGCUCUUGAUCGAAGCCCCGGUAAACGGCGGCCGUAACUAUAACGGUCCUAAGGUAGCGAAAUUCCUUGUCGGGUAAGUUCCGACCUGCACGAAUGGCGUAAUGAUGGCCAGGCUGUCUCCACCCGAGACUCAGUGAAAUUGAACUCGCUGUGAAGAUGCAGUGUACCCGCGGCAAGACGGAAAGACCCCGUGAACCUUUACUAUAGCUUGACACUGAACAUUGAGCCUUGAUGUGUAGGAUAGGUGGGAGGCUUUGAAGUGUGGACGCCAGUCUGCAUGGAGCCGACCUUGAAAUACCACCCUUUAAUGUUUGAUGUUCUAACGUGGGCCCCUUACCGGGGUUGCGGACAGUGUCUGGUGGGUAGUUUGACUGGGGCGGUCUCCUCCUAAAGAGUAACGGAGGAGCACGAAGGUUGGCUAAUCCUGGUCGGACAUCAGGAGGUUAGUGCAAUGGCAUAAGCCAGCUUGACUGCGAGCGUGACGGCGCGAGCAGGUGCGAAAGCAGGUCAUAGUGAUCCGGUGGUUCUGAAUGGAAGGGCCAUCGCUCAACGGAUAAAAGGUACUCCGGGGAUAACAGGCUGAUACCGCCCAAGAGUUCAUAUCGACGGCGGUGUUUGGCACCUCGAUGUCGGCUCAUCACAUCCUGGGGCUGAAGUAGGUCCCAAGGGUAUGGCUGUUCGCCAUUUAAAGUGGUACGCGAGCUGGGUUUAGAACGUCGUGAGACAGUUCGGUCCCUAUCUGCCGUGGGCGCUGGAGAACUGAGGGGGGCUGCUCCUAGUACGAGAGGACCGGAGUGGACGCAUCACUGGUGUUCGGGUUGUCAUGCCAAUGGCACUGCCCGGUAGCUAAAUGCGGAAGAGAUAAGUGCUGAAAGCAUCUAAGCACGAAACUUGCCCCGAGAUGAGUUCUCCCUGACUCCUUGAGAGUCCUGAAGGAACGUUGAAGACGACGACGUUGAUAGGCCGGGUGUGUAAGCGCAGCGAUGCGUUGAGCUAACCGGUACUAAUGAACCGUGAGGCUUAACCUU